GGGGUUGUAGUUAAAUUAACAUUUAAUUUGCAAUUAAAAAAUGUCUUUAAAAUUAUUGACCUGCCUCA
rnacentral:tRNA from 1 species